rnacentral:tRNA from 1 species
GAGAUAGUAGUUUGAGCUUUGGACUAUGACUCUAAAGUCCAGGGUUGAAAUCCUUGCUUACUCA